CCUACGGGCGGCAGCAGUGAGGAAUAUUGGUCAAUGGGCGCGAGCCUGAACCAGCCAAGUAGCGUGAAGGAUGACUGCCCUACGGGUUGUAAACUUCUUUUAUAAAGGAAUAAAGUGCGGCACGUGUGCCUUUUUGUAUGUAUUUUAUGAAUAAGGAUCGGCUAACUCCGUGCCAGCAGCCGCGGUAAUACGGAGGUUCCGGGCGUUAUCCGGAUUUAUUGGGUUUAAAGGGAGCGUAGACGGGUUGUUAAGUCAGUUGUGAAAGUUUGCGGCUCAACCGUAGAAUUGCAAUGGAAACUGGCGGACUUGAGUACAGUAGAGGUAGGCGGAAUUCGUGGUGUAGCGGUGAAAUGCUUAGAUAUCACGAAGAACUCCGAUUGCGAAGGCAGCUUACUAAACUGCAACUGACAUUGAUGCUCGAAAGUGUGGGUAUCAAACAGGAUUAGAUACCCGUGUAGUC
rnacentral:rRNA from 1 species